CCGUCUAAAUCGUGUACACAUAUGUGUAACCACGUUGCAGAAACACGAGGGAAGUGCGCACCAGGUUGUUCAUGUACCAGCCGACCGCACUCGGGUAUAUACAUAAAAUAUGAUAUGCAUAUGAAAGAUAUGUUCAUAUCCUAUUUGAAAGUUUUUGCAUGUGAAUUUUUUUUACUAGGCCAGCACGUAAGUGAAUUGUCUCAAAGGAAUCUUAAGUCUCACAUUGAGUGAGAGCUCUCUUGUUCCAUAUAAUCAAGAAAAGUAAGGGCACUUCAGUGUUCUUUGUUCCAUGCAAUUGGCCCAUGGAGAGGGGUUUGGCUUGGUCCAUGAGGGAUGGGAAGAAUGAGUUAUUUGGGUUGCAUCUUCCUUGUGGGCUCUUGUCUUUUGGCAUGUCUUUGAUUCUAUAUUUUGACUUCCUCUUUUAUGCUUGUUAUUCUUCAUACACUGGAGUUUUUUGGCCUGCAUGAUGCGGAGAGAACACCGUCACAAGGAGCCAAUUUUACUCCUCACAACAAUCUUUAAGUACUAGUUAUUGGGAUGGAUAUUGAACAUUUCCUAUCUUCUACAACUAAUGCCAAGGCUAGGUAGUACAAUCUUCCAAUCUUCUAAAACUAAUGUCAAGGAUAGGGGGCCAAUCUUUUCAAUCUUCAACAAUUAAUGGCACAAAAGGCUUGGUAUUGAACUCAAAUUUAUUGUCGUGACACCUCAGUUUGAAGAUAUAGAUGAAGACUCUCAUAAGUGUGCACCUUCCAAUAUAAAUAUAUGCCAAGAUUAGUUCACACCCCAUCCAAGUGUUAUCAAUGGCUUGCAAGACCACCGCUGUUGUGGCAUCCAUGUUGAUAUUGAUGCUCCUUGUGUCUUUCGGUAAGUAGGAUAAUAUAGUAUUUCAUACGUAUGUAGUUUUUGGCAUGCAUGAUGUGGAGAGAGCAUCGUCACAAGGAGACAAUUUUACUCCUCACAACAAUCUCCAACUACUAAUUAUUGGGAUGGAUAUUGAACAUUUCCUAUCUUCUACAAUUAACGCCAAGGCUAAGUAGUAAACUCUUCCAAUCUUCUAAGACUAAUGUCAAGGAUAGGAACCCAAUAUUUUAAAUCUUUAACAAUUAGUGCCACAAAAGGCUUGAUACUGAACUCAACUUUAUUGUCGGGUGACCUUAGUUUGACGAUAUAGAUGAAGACUCUCAUAAGUGUGCACCUUCCAAUAUAAAGACAUGCCAAGAUUAGGUCACACCCCAUCCAAGUGUUCUCAAUGGCUUGCAAGACCCCCAUCGUUGUGGCAUCCAUGUUGAUAUUGAUGCUCCUUGUGUCUUUUGGUAAGUAGGAGAAUAUACCAUUUCAUACAUAUGUAGGGAGUUUAUGUUUUUCCAUCACGUAUUAAACCUUUAUUUCUAUAAGGAUGUAGGGAUUUUGCAUCGUAACAAAAUUUCUUUCAUUUAUGUAGACGAGGUUCAAGGGAAGUGUCGCGAGGAACGCAUCAAGCUCUCCUGUGAUAAUUGGGUCAAAUGUUUUGAGUGGUGUCGUCUCUUUGGUGGUACGAAAGGGUACUGUGAUAAAGGUUCAUGUGUGUGUGUGAAUUGCUUUGUGCAAUCAUCUGGCCACCAUUCUACAGAGGUUCCACCACCGAAUUCUGCCCAUCUUGAGUAGUUCAUUGUAAUUGUCGAAUUAUUGGUAAUUGGUUGUCCUAUAAAUAACUAAGUGCAUUGGUUAUGAUAUUCUUUUUAUGUAAUUUUCUAAUAUGACAUAGUAAGUUUUCCAAUGGAAAGGUACAAUAAUAUGUUUUCAGGGUCAUCGGAAAGUCCGGAUCUAUUUAUGGAAACUUUUCAGGGUCAUCGGAAUGGGUUCCAGAGACAUACGGAAAAUUCAAGAUUUUAUUUGUAGAAGAAAAGUGCGAAGAACCAUCAUGAGAUGACGAUCCCUAGUGGGCCCACGAGGGCCCACAAGGGGCGCAAUGGGCUUUGGUAGGCCCUAGGCCGAAUUGGAAGGGGAUGAAAUCCUUCCCUCUUCCAAGGAUUUCCCCUCUUUACCCUCCUCCUUCUCCUACUUAUAUAUAUGGGGGGAGGCCUCCCUCUUGAGACAAAUAAAAUUAAAGGGUGCUACUUCUUGAGCUUGCGUUGUUUUUUCCCAUGAAGAGGAAAGGGUGAUGCAACAAAGUAGAGAUAAG
rnacentral:lncRNA from 1 species